rnacentral:rRNA from 1 species
UACGGAGGGAGCUAGCGUUGUUCGGAAUUACUGGGCGUAAAGCGCGCGUAGGCGGCUUUGUAAGUUAGAGGUGAAAGCCCGGGGCUCAACCCCGGAACUGCCUUUAAGACUGCAUCGCUUGAAUCUGGGAGAGGUGAGUGGAAUUCCGAGUGUAGAGGUGAAAUUCGUAGAUAUUCGGAAGAACACCAGUGGCGAAGGCGGCUCACUGGACCGGUAUUGACGCUGAGGUGCGAAAGCGUGGGGAGCAAACAGG